GCCAGUGUGGCAUAGUGGUUUGAGUGUUGGAUUACGAUUCUGAAAACCAGGGUUCAAUUCCCUGCUCAGCCA